rnacentral:rRNA from 1 species
UAACACAUGCAAGUCGAGGGGUAACAGGAAAGCUUGCUUUCGCUGACGACCGGCGCACGGGUGCGUAACGCGUAUGCAACCUACCUCAUACUGGAGAAUAGCCCCUGGAAACGGGGAUUAAUACUCCAUGGUAUCAUUCUUUCGCAUGUUAGAAUGAUUAAAGAAUUUCGGUAUGAGAUGGGCAUGCGUCCCAUUAGCUAGUUGGUGAGGUAACGGCUCACCAAGGCAACGAUGGGUAGGGGGCCUGAGAGGGUGGUCCCCCACACUGGUACUGAGACACGGACCAGACUCCUACGGGAGGCAGCAGUGAGGAAUAUUGGUCAAUGGAGGCAACUCUGAACCAGCCAUGCCGCGUGAAGGAUGACGGCCCUAUGGGUUGUAAACUUCUUUUGAAUAGGAAGAAACUUAUCUACGUGUAGAUAACUGACGGUACUAUUAGAAUAAGGAUCGGCUAACUCCGUGCCAGCAGCCGCGGUAAUACGGAGGAUCCAAGCGUUAUCCGGAUUCAUUGGGUUUAAAGGGUCCGUAGGCGGGUCUUUAAGUCAGUGGUGAAAGCC